rnacentral:lncRNA from 1 species
AUGGCUCUUCUAUUGCAUUCCUAUGAAAACUCCCUUUUGGAACCUUUAUUUCUAAAAGUUUUUGUAAACAUUGUAGACAUCAUAUUUAGCAUCAUAUUUAGAUGCAGAUUUCUUGCAUAUAUCUCAUAUAUAUGUGCACAUGGGAACAGGAAACAAGAUCUUCAGAGACAAAGAGAGUACCGGGAGGAGAUGAGAGAAAUCCGGGAAAGAGUGAAGGGAAGACCUCUGUUACUGGAACACGUCACAAAGAUGAAUGCUAAGAGAGCAGCAGAGAAGCUCUACUCUGCCACUUUGCAUGGAUGUGGUCUGAGUGAAUCCUUUAUCAGCAGUAAAGCUCCUAAAGGCUUGAGACACAGACAGACUCCAAGCCCCACCCACUCCGGCAGCCAAACUCCACCCACAUACAGGUAGAAGAGCCAGGAGCUCUCUAUUCUGUCAUACAGUUUAUAAAAGAACACUUCUUACCAAACAGGAAAAUCUGCUUAAUUUGCUAUUGUUUAUUUUCGCUAGUGUCUAAAGCUGCAGAUACAAAAAAAAUUAUUUGUUUUUGCAUUAUUUUGUAAUAUAAUACAGGGCUCUCGUAUAACUUCGUAUAAUGUAUGCUAUACGAAGUUAUUACGUGUAAGAUUUAUUUAUAUGUAUUUAUUUUUUGGUAUAUAGUAUACUUUUCAGGUAGGAUGAAUUAUAUAUAUAUAUAUAUAUAUAUGGAAAUAAAUGCCUGUCCACCAUCAUAUAUUUAACAAAGGGCCAAAAACGCAGCAUUAUUUAAUAUGUGACAAAUUAAAUGAGUGUGUUUCUAUAUGCAAUAAGAGAAAAAAUAACCUAAUAUGUGAAAAUAAACGUUAUUAUUGCAAUUUUAUUGUUUAGCACUUUUUCUUUUCAUACUCAAUACGAGCAUAUAAACCAUUUUGCACAUGAGCCACAGCCUAAAAAUACACAUCACGGUCAGUUACUGUCUGUACAACACAGGCAACGUCUCAGUAAUUUUCCAUGCUCCACGCGGUCCAGCCCACAACACGCUCACGCUGUGCUGCAAAACCCGCCUCGUACAUGAGACCAAGGGCGAAAGACGCGCUGGGAGGGGUCGAUCCUGACGGACGGCACCUCUACCCAAUCACAUGCGCGCAAGGCUUCCGCGUCGCUCUCUCUGACCAAUCAGCUGCAGCGGAGGGCGUGACCGCAGUCCGAAUUUUACGCGGCGCUACGGCGUGAAAACUAAACCGAGAUGGAAUACGCCAGUCUGAACCGGUUUCAACCGGUCUUGCGUGUGAUGCAUGAGACUAGAAAGGAGCUGGGUCACAGUCUCUCGCAGAUAUCUGCUUCCAAAACAACGGUUUUUCUGCAAUAGACAAAAGAAUAAACUAACGAUUGGUUUGAUGCUGUGGUUAUAAAACGGAAUGAGAAGUUAAAGCGAGCUGUAAACCGUCAUACAGAGAGACAGAUGAACUGACACGAGCUGCUGACUGAAAGACGACCUGGACUCAAUUACUGAAGACAAUAGUUAAAAAUAACACCGAAAUUGUGUGUUUUGGGGGGUUUUCAUGUAUCGUUUGUAUCGCACUAUAGUGUGUUUGACUAUACAGCUAGUUAGCAUUUGAAGUGAACUUGCUAGCUGCUCAGAUUGCAUUUUCAAUACACACGCUAUCCGUGUAAAAUGAGAUAAAUAACGUUACACUUGCCGCUUUUUUUACAUCACGUCUUGAUUUGACGCGACGCACGUUUCCAGGACACUUAACCUUGUUGCUAAUCCCCAAACCACGUUAGCAUUUUUGUUGAUUUUUUUCAGCGUGAAGGAGUUUUUGUUAAAACAGGUAAGUUGAAUGAUGUUCUUGAGGUGUUUGGUGAAACGGUUAUCUGUUACAAUGUUACAAACAGUAUAUACUACGAUAAGUGAGUUGAAUGAACUGCUAGUUUGCUGACACACUGCUAGUGUUGUCCAGAAACGAAAACGCGUUUUGUUCCUCGCCGAUGCCCGUAACUGCAAGGCGCUCAACUAGAAUUCAUGUGGGCUGCUUUACUAAAAAAAAAAAAUAGUAUCAUUGCAUAUGAAGAUCUGUUGACUCAAAUGCGUGUUUACUCUUUGUGUUUUCUUU